AAGUCAGUGUUAUAUUAGUGAAUUGGAUUUUUUCAUAAGAGAGGAAAGGCUGGUACUCUUGAUUAUUGAUGGAAUGGGAGAUACUUCUAUGGUUGAAAUUCAAAGUUGUCUAGAAGGUUGAGUUUGCUGAAUUUAUGCGUGGUUGUGUUAAUCUGACUGUACGAAUAGAGGAUAUCUGCCAACAGUUUAAAGAAGUAUUGGGAG
rnacentral:lncRNA from 1 species